rnacentral:rRNA from 1 species
GGAAUUGUUCGCAAUGGGCGCAAGCCUGACGACGCAACGCCGCGUGGAGGAUGAAGAUCUUCGGGUCGUACACUCCUGUCGAGUGGGAAGAAACGUUGCGGGGCCAACACCCCCGGAAUUUGCCGGUACCAAUAAAGGAAGCCCCGGCUAACUCCGUGACAGCAGCCGCGGAAAUACGGGGGGGGCAAGCGUUGUUCGGAAUUACUGGGCGUAAAGGGCUCGUAGGCGGCCAACUAAGUCGGAUGUGAAAUCCCCAGGCUCAACCUGGGAACUGCAUCCGAUACUGGAUGGCUUGAAUUCGGGAGAGGGAUGCAGAAUUCCAGGUGUAGCGGUGAAAUGCGUAGAUAUCUGGAGGAAUACCGGUGGCGAAGGCGGCAUCCUGGACCGACAUUGACGCUGAGGAGCGAAAGCUAGGGGAGCAAAC